GACGAACGCUGGCGGCGUGCUUAACACAUGCAAGUCGAACGAUGAAGCGCUGUCCUUUUGAUGGUGUGGAUUAGUGGCGAACGGGUGAGUAAUACGCGGGCAACCUGCCCCUCUGCUUCGGGAUAAGCUUUGGAAACGGGGUCUAAUACCGGAUGUGCCUGUCUGGUCGCAUGGCUGGGCGGGGAAAGAUGUUUUUCGGCGGGGGAUGGGCUCGCGGCCUAUCAGCUUGUUGGUGGGGUGACGGCCUACCAAGGCGUCGACGGGUAGCCGGCCUGAGAGGGUGGUCGGCCACACUGGGACUGAGAUACGGCCCAGACUCCUACGGGAGGCAGCGUGGGGGAUAUUGCACAAUGGGCGCAAGCCUGAUGCAGCGACGCCGCGUGGGGGAUGGAGGCUUUCGGGUUGUAAACCCCUUUCGGCGCGGGACAAGGCUCCGUUGGCGGGGUG
rnacentral:rRNA from 1 species